CAAAAUAAAAACUUGUGUAAAAAGCAACGAAGAAACAAAAAAAAAAUGAUAAAAACUUGAUGAGCUCAUCCAUGGACGGGAGUAUAACGGAGCUAAGCGAUUCUCGAAGCAUCAAACGGUGGGAGAGGUUGUUGAUGUCCUCAGAGGUGCAAGCGAAAUGGAAAACUCAAGAACCUUAGCAAACUCUGGAUGAGAUAUUCUCACCUUUUGUACAUAAUAUAUAAUUCUCGAUGAAGACCUUAGCCAUCCUUUAACAAAAGCUAAUGCAAAUCCACCGACGAAUGUAGAUACCAGCUGAAUAAACUUCCCAACCUGCAAGAUUCAAGAAAAUAUAAUCUCUUUGCUAAAAAAAAAAAUUUAAGCUUCAAAGUUUUAUUAUUUUAAGCUUCAAAGUUUUAUUUAUUGUGGUAUUACCUUCUCACCCAUGGCGUCUUGUAGAAGAACAGUAUCUCCAGACAUUCUACCAACAACCUCUCCUGUGUUUGUUUCCACAUUGAAAAAUCCAAUGUCUUGUCUGAGAAUUGUUUUCAGAUACAUACUCCUUAUCCUCGCUGCUUGUCUCUCUACCGUGACAUCCAAGAAGCCACCUCUGCAGCAACAACAACAAAAUAAAAACUUGUGUAAAAAGCAACGAAGAAACAAAAAAAAAAUGAUAAAAACUUGAUGAGCUCAUCCAUGGACGGGAGUAUAACGGAGCUAAGCGAUUCUCGAAGCAUCAAACGGUGGGAGAGGUUGUUGAUGUCCUCAGAGGUGCAAGCGAAAUGGAAAACUCAAGAACCUUAGCAAACUCUGGAUGAGAUAUUCUCACCUUUUGUACAUAAUAUAUAAUUCUCGAUGAAGACCUUAGCCAUCCUUUAACAAAAGCUAAUGCAAAUCCACCGACGAAUGUAGAUACC
rnacentral:lncRNA from 1 species